GGGGAUGACUGGUUUUGACAGCGCGUAGAGGUGGUUUGUAAGCACGUAGUGCAUUGUAGCCUGGCACUUUAAUCUCAGACUUCAGACCUUUUAAAUGGCGCAAAUAAUUACGCUCUUGCUGCGUAACCGAAGUACAGUAAGUUAACGCUUUAUCCCUGCAAGCUGCGGGGACGAGACACUACCCGGAUACUCUUAUCCCGAAGUGGUCCGAUCAUGGUAGUGCCGGUAUAUCGGGGUUAUCCUUUGCAUCGCCUUGCUGUAAGGGAGACAUUUUAGAGGCUAAGCACGGAAGAGGUAGCUUCAUCCAUACUUCCGACGCCGACAAUAGAAGUGAAGCUAAACGUGUAGAAAGCAAAUUAGUUCCGUGUUUGGACGAGGGUUCAAAUCCCUCCAUCUCCACAG
rfam:Porphyromonas sp. COT-108_OH1349 contig_13, whole genome shotgun sequence.